rnacentral:rRNA from 1 species
GAUGAACGCUAGCUACAGGCUUAACACAUGCAAGUCGAGGGGUAACGAGAGGGAAGCUUGCUUUCCUUGUCGACGACCGGCGCACGGGUGAGUAACGCGUAUCCAACCUGCCCCCAACUAGGGAAUAACCUUGCGAAAGUAAGACUAAUACCCUAUAAUUUCCUCAGAUGCCAUCUGACGAGGAAUAAAGAUUUAUCGGUUGUGGAUGGGGAUGCGUCUGAUUAGCUUGUUGGCGGGGUAACGGCCCACCAAGGCAACGAUCAGUAGGGGUUCUGAGAGGAAGGUCCCCCACAUUGGAACUGAGACACGGACCAAACUCCUACGGGAGGCAGCAGUGAGGAAUAUUGGUCAAUGGGCGGAAGCCUGAACCAGCCAAGUAGCGUGCAGGAUGACGGCCCUAUGGGUUGUAAACUGCUUUUAUACAGGAAUAAAGUUAGCCACGUGUGGUUAUUUGUAGGUACUGUAUGAAUAAGGACCGGCUAAUUCCGUGCCAGCAGCCGCGGUAA